ACUGUCCAUCUGUUAUCCGAUCUUGGAAGCUAAACAGGGUCAGGCAUGGUUAGUACUUGGAUGGGAGACCACGUGGGAAGCCCCCUGAC
rnacentral:rRNA from 1 species